GCCUCGGUAGCUCAGUUGGUAGAGCGGCUGACUGUUAAUCAGCAGGCCGGAGGUUCGAGACCUCCCCGGGGCG
rnacentral:tRNA from 1 species